UGAAACAUAGGUUCCCAUACAUUCACCGAAGUUAAGCAACGUCGAGCCUGGUCAGUACCUAGAUGAUUGACCGCUUCGGAAUAUCAGGUGCUGUAA